rnacentral:lncRNA from 1 species
UGUGGGUUUUGCAACUCUUAAACAGACACUAAAUACAAAAACAGGGUAAAAACAGAAAGCAGAGGACAUUUCAUUCCGUUGACUUUGAUUGUGAAGACAAAUGAAGGAUAUUUAGAUUUUUCGUGACCCUGCGGGUGGAGAGGCACUACAAUGAUCAUCACGGAUACAUACUUUGUUGCAUGAUGUUCUGCAAAAUAUAUUGUAUAAUUUCAACAAUAAAACAAUUUCUCUCUAAUGUAUUUCAAAAAAAAAGACAAAAAAAAAAAUUGUACCUGUGCCUCUUCACCUCGGGUGAAGCCAAAGCAGACUGCAGGCAUGUUUCUUCUGUUUCCUGUUUUUCUUUUCUUUUUAUUCUCUAUUUUAUGUUCUGGAAUUUGUCCAUGGCACAGAACUCAAUUGUUGUCUGAAAUCUUUGUAACUACUACUCUUGUUUUGGUGGAAUGCUAUUCUUUGUGGCAUUAGAGCUUUAAGAUUUUCUCAAGCGGCUUUCCAUUCUGUCAUUGGCUUUUUUCUAGUCUACAGUCUAGUGUGCGCCACACUGCAUACGAGGGAAGUUUACACUUGUCAGAAAAGAUAUUUGUACUAAAAGGAAUGCUGAGAAAUGUCAGAUUAACAAGAACACAAUCCUUUCUGCCAGGACUUCUCAGGGUGGGCUUCUGACUCUCUUGAAAUUGUGAAAUUUGACUGUUCUUAAUUUCACUAAUCGCUUUGAUAAGCCUGUCUAAUGACUUAAAGUCAGACUUUAGACUGACAUAAUUUCACUGGGCGACCAGAAGUGUUGCAUAUGCUUGUUUGCAACAUGCAUGGCUUUUUUGUACUGACCAGUAUUUCCUGCUUGAUUAGAAAAAAGAUAUGGUCACCUCGGUUCAUUUCAUCCCACAUGGCUUUAAAUCUGCUGUUACUUUGUGAGUUUUUUUGUAUUAUGAAAUUCCCUUUUCUUGCAAUUCAAAGAUAUCAUUUAAAAAUGUUUUUUUUUGUUUUUUUUUUUUUAGGUAAUUUGUUAAGUAACUUAUUUUGCUUGUACAAAAAGUUGAUAUUUAUUACCAUUGUACAUAUGCCCUUAUUUUUAUAUAUGUAUAUAUCAUCAGAAAUAAAAGUAGAGAUCAGUUCACAGCAAGUAGGAUGUGUAUGAUUAUUUGAGUAGUUCAGUAUGACUUUAAUGACAAAAUGUUUAUUUGUAGAGUUCAGAUGACUUUAAUGCAAAAUGUCUACAUAGUGCUUUUCAUGAUGCUUCUGCUGAAAAUAUUUACAAUGUUUUGCUAACUUCAUGGAGUCCAGACACAGCACUUUGGACAACAACCAAAAGUGCAGUAUCUGCUGCUUAGUGUCUAUAUUUUUCUCUACCAUACUGUGCAUGUGAACACCCUCACAGGUGACAGGACUGCCACGAGCCGCACGCGCAGAAGCCACAGCUGUGUGUGAGACAUCAGCAGUCUGGACUGAGUGAAUCAUCACUUUCUACACAGCUGGGCCUCCAAUUCACAGCUGUCUAUAAAAGGAGGAGAGGAAGAGAUAGAGCCAUUAUCUGGAAAAGAUUUGCUUUCUAAGUUGACACUGUAUCUUUUUUCUAUCCAUCAUUGAUAUAUACACCUUCGUGGAUUUUUAUUUAUUUAUUUUUUAAAAAGACAAUACUUUUAUUCAGCAAGGAUACUUCAAAUCAAAUCAAAAGUUGCAGUACGGAUAUUUAUGAUGUUUUUCUAUUUCAAAUAAAAGCUGUUCUUUUGGACUUUGUAUUCAUCAAAGAAUCCUGAAAAAAAAAUUGUAUCACUGGUUCAAACAAAAAAAAAAAAAAAAUGAAGCAGCACAAUUGUAUUCAACAUUGAUAAUAAUAAGAAAUGUUUUUGAGCAUCCAAUCAGCAUAUCAGAAUGAUUUCUGAAUAAUCAAGUGACAAGACCCAAGACUAGAUGACUACUAAAAAUUCAGCUUUGCCAUCACAGGAAUUACAUUUACAUAUCUUAAAAUGGAAAAAAGAGUCAUUUUAAAUUUUAAUAAUAUUUUACAAUAUUACUGUUUUUCUGAAUUUUUGAUAAAAUAAAUGGGAAGCAUUAGGGACUUCUUGCAAUGUAGUGUAGGAGAAACUUUCUGAGGAAAAAAGUUUUGGCUAUUUUUUUUUCAUUGCUUAUUUUUUUUGACAAGUCUCCAGACAGCAGAAUGAUGAAUACUAAUGUAGUAAAUAAUAAUGUAAAAUUCAGUAAAUAAAUAUUUAAAUAUUUAUUUAAAUAAAUAAGAGUGACUUGCUGGCAUAAAGAAUAUUUUUGCUGAAUCAUUUUCUGUUUGUACUCUGUUCAUUUAUUUAACAAGACCAGGUUUCACAGGAAAUGUGAGAACUGGCAUUAAUUAUAUAAAAAAGAAAAUGUUCUCAGCAUUUACUCACCCUCAUUUUUCCAAAUCCAUAUCACAAAAAUGGGAACAAAAUGUUGGCUCUGCUCUUUUGUCUCAUUACAAUUAUUAGCAAUUUUACAUUUUGGCAAACUGGUGAAUUUGUACAAUUUCAUUUGUACGCUUUCGUCCAAUUUGUACAUAUUUAUUUAUCCAGCUAUUUUAACAGUUUUUCUUCACAACUUUUCCAUAGGCCUCUUUUGAAAUCAGCCAAAUUGUCAGCCAAAAAUGUAUAAAGCUCAUAAAGACAAAGACUGAUUUGGGGUGACCCUGUAAAGUCCUCUAACAACCUCCCCAGGCCCAUUCUAGUCCUGUUACGUUGAAUCAUUUGAUAGAUGUCCAAGGUGUAUCUGCAGAAAAUCCAGCCAAACUCUUGGCUCAGGCAGACUGACCUCACACCACGACUGUUUGCCAAGCGCUCUGCAGACAUCCAACGCUCCGGAGAGAGUGUAGGUCUGAAAUUUCCUUCAGGCCUGUUGUCAGAAUGCACCAUCUCCCAAUACAAUCCUCAUUGUUUCCCAUUACACAUCUUGCAGUAACUACCAUCAACUGCCACAAGACAGUUUUACUUUAUAGGCCUUGAGUUUGACGUUACAGCAUCUUUACUGAUGGGGAUAACAAUAGUGAUGAUGAUCAGCAUUGUUUUCAAGGACUGUCACAGCUAGCAAAGGCUUUCACUGAAGAGAUGCAUUUUAAAGAUAACACUAUGCUUACUGGUCUCAUAAAAAUUUUGCAUGAAAUUAGUUGAAUAAUUAACUUGCAUAUAUGCAAUAUCUCUUAUUUGCAGCAGAAAUGAAAUCUAGAGAUUUCUUUCAUGCAUCAAGUCAAAGUCUUAAACACAGCCUGCAUGUUAUUUGAGCUUUGAAACAUGUUUAUUUUCAUGCAUGCACAUGACAUUUUAAUUUAAUAAAAGUAAAUAUUUUCAGCAAUUAUCCUCAUGUUUCCAAAUCCCUGUAACAAAAUGAGACCAAAAUUUUGCUUCUGCUCUUUUGCCAAACAAUCUUAUUACAAUGUAACUAUUUGAAAUGUUGGUAUAUUGGUGUCAAUUUUGCAUCAAUUUGUACAAUCUGUUUAAGCCCCACGGUUCUUGUUAAAGAAAUGAACAGAGUAUGAACAGAAAAUUAUUGAAUGAUAAAUAUUCUUUAUUCCAGCAGGUCACUCAAAAGUCCAGGAGCCUUAAAGUGAAAACAAAGAGUGAAAAUGUGAAAAUGUUCUUGCAAUCAUUCCAAGUGAUGAAAAAAAUAGGUAAUUCAUUUUUUCAUGUGAAUGUAUGAACAUAAAAAUAUCAAAAUUCCUAUGAUAAAAUGAAGGCAAAAUGUUGUUUCUGGUUUGUUUUUUGUCAAAACAGCAUCAUUGCAAUUUGUAACUAUUUUACAUUGUGGCAA